rnacentral:rRNA from 1 species
GAUGAACGCUAGCGGCAGGCCUAACACAUGCAAGUCGAGGGGGAGGUUACUUUCGGGUAACUGAGACCGGCGUACGGGUGCGUAACGCGUAUACAAUCUGCCUUUCACUGGGGGAUAGCCCGAAGAAAUUUGGAUUAAUACCCCAUAGUAUAGUAAUACGGCAUCGUGAUGCUAUUAAAGCUUAGGUGGUGAAAGAUGAGUAUGCGUUCUAUUAGCUAGUUGGAGAGGUAACGGCUCCCCAAGGCGAUGAUAGAUAGGGGUUCUGAGAGGGAUGUCCCCCACACUGGUACUGGGAUACGGACCAGACUCCUACGGGAGGCAGCAGUGAGGAAUAUUGGACAAUGGUCGGAAGACUGAUCCAGCCAUGCCGCGUGCAGGAUGAAGGUCUUAUGGAUUGUAAACUGCUUUUGUAAGGGAAGAAUAAGGGCUACGCGUAGUUUGAUGACGGUACCUUACGAAUAAGCAUCGGCUAACUCCGU